rnacentral:lncRNA from 1 species
GCGGGGCCGUAGUUCCCGGAUGAGGGGUGGCCGUGCGGAGUGGAAGCCGGCCAGGCGGUGUGUGGGGCGGCCGGAGGGGAGGCAGGAUGCGUUCCUGCUCCUCCUGCCCUGCAGCUGGAUGUGCCUCCGGCCUUCCUGCAGCUCUCCUGGAGAGAGGAGCGGGGGGAGAUGCGUGCUGCUGAAAGAGAAGCGCUUUGGUGUGGCCCCCCAGCUGAGCAUUGUCUUCAGUGGUUUUGGAUCCUUUCUCCGGAAAGCAGUGCUGUGUAUAAGGUCGUGGAGUGGUCACUUGAAAGCAGACUUGUUCAUUUGAAAGGGAGUUGGGGCACUCGAGAGAAGAACAACACCAAAAAGAUCUGUUACCUUUGUAUUUACUGCCUGAUUUACAGAAAAUUAACUUCAGGUUGAUAACAUGGGUUUAGUGCAAAUGGGAACGGGCUUUGUAUUCUCAAGAAAGUGUGCAAAGAGGAGUGUUUCUUACCAGAGCUUUUACUGUGUACAAUUAAACGUGCCAGGUGUGGGCUGCAAACUGCACAGGCUUGAAGACUUUGCUAUUAGGGGAUCUUGAUGGGGUUUUUUGUUUGUUUGUUUUCAGUUUUCAUUCUCCUUUCCAGAUGUUUCACCAUCUUGAGCUAAUCUAGAGCCCAUUUGUUACCAUUGCUUUCUUACUGGGUCAUCACUGUUUGAUGACAGGAACAUCGUCAGGCUGAGUAAACAAGGGAAGCAGUGUAAAUACCUCCCUCUUGGACGGAGUUAGGUCUGGUGAGGCUGAGCUGGAUGGCGGAUUUUGGGGUUGUUGUUUCAGGCCAUAGGAAGUGGGAUUAACUGUUUCCACUGUUCUGGGCCUUCACAAAAUGAGAUGCCGUGUCAGUGACAUGAAGAUACCAUAUGGGAUUAAGGAUGGAUCCAGGAAGUUUGGGACCAUAGAGAGCCAGUCUGUCAGGACCAUGUAGUGCAGCUAAUGGAUGUAAAGCUCUGAUUCCACAGGGAACAGGUGCAGAGCUGCUGUCCUGGCGUGUGGGUGCCUGUCUUGUACCCUGGGACGGGAAUUAGAAAAUGUUGUCUUGUUCUGGUAGCAUGCUUUUGAUUCCUGUUGCCUUGCCAUAUUUAAAUCAUAGAAUCAGAAUCCUUAGAGUUAGAAGGGACCUCUGAAGGCCAUUCCCCUUCAAACAGAGACAUCACAGCUAGAUCAGGUUGCCCAGAGCCUUAUCCAGCCUUGCCUUGAAAGUCUCCAGGGAUGGGGCAUCAACAUCACUGGGCAACCUGUUCCAAUUCUUCACUACCCUCACUGUAUAAGUUCUACCCUCACUGUAUGAGAUUUUUUCCCUAUAUCUAACCUAAAUCUACCCUCUUUGAACUUGAAUAUGACUUCCUGGCCUAGUGCCUUUCCUGCAUGUGAGUCAGCCGCAAAUUUAGCCUCUUGAGGAUUCACUGGUAACACUUUAGUAGCAACCUCAUGUUUAGAUUUUUCUUGGGUUGCUGCAAGACAGCAGGCUGACUCUGUACUUGGCCUGGGAUUAGCCCUUUUUUUGUAGCCCUGUGGCUAGUUGUGCUUCUGAAGAGAGCAGAGCUGCAAGCAGGGCUGGCUACGUGCGCUUGGUGUGUGAGGAGCUGGAGUUAUCAGUCAGCUGGGCUUAGUUAUGAGUAAUAAUUGCUUUAUAACAGUGCGUAAAUAGAAACCGGUGCUCAGCAUUAUCUGGAGGAGGAGGACCUCAGGAGGUUUUUGCUGCUAGCCCUGCCCAGAGCAGGGCCCUGGAGCAGUGCGUGAGCCUGUCCGUGUUUGUCUUCAGCUUCCCUCAUUUCACCCAGGCCUUGCACACAUCUUCUGCUUAUCUGCUUUGUACACAGCAUUCGAGAUAGUAACGGAACAUCGAGACAUCUGUGCUAAUUGUAUCCAGUAUGUGGUGUGCGUGUGCUCCAGGUCAGUAAGACUGUCUGUGCCCUACAGUCAGCAAUUUGCUCCAGAACCUGGAGAAAGCUGGUGGGUGGACAGGGAUGUUUCAUCUAACUCAGGCACCAGCAACUGCUUAAUGUUUCAGAAGCAAAACUAUGGAGGUGAAAAGUCUCACAGCUGACUUUCCAAACAGAUGUGUAGCACUUGUAUGUGAGACAUGGUGCUAAACGUGGCAAUAGCCCACGGGUUUGGUGGGUUUGUAAAAUCAUAGAAUGCCUUGGUCUGGAAAGGACCUUAAAACCCACCUAGUUUCAACCCCUUUCCAUAGGCAGGGCUGCCACCUACCAGACCAGACUGCCCGGGGCCCCAUCCAAGCUGGUCUUCAGCACAUCCAGAAAUAGGGCAGCCACAAUUUCUCUGGGCAGCUGUGCCAGUGCCUCACCACUCUUGUAGUGAAGAAUUUCCUCUAGGACUACUGAUUUUGUCUGGAUUCUUGGUACAAAAUAUAAAGGCACCUGUUUGCAAGUUGUUGUUUUGUAGUGCAGAGUGAGAAAGUGUUUUACUUUCUGAAUAAAACAGUUUGAGGGGACCAGUUUCUCCAAGGUGAGCUGACAUAUUUGACAAGGCUUAGAAACAGCCCGUAUGAGAUACUGCCAGAAUACUGGAUUAAAAUGUUUCAGUAUCCACAAAUAUCAUUAUGACAUUUUCCAGUCCAAACAGAUCCUUGAGAAUGGCUGUGCCAAAAUCUCAUCUCUUUCUCUUCUUCCACAUGAGGUCUGUUAAUGUGUCCACUCAGGCCUCGUAACUUCAAACCUGUUUAUAUUGCUUGUAGAAAUUAUGUUUUUUUUUUUGUCUCUGCCACUUUUGCAAGGCUUCUUCUCAAAACACAGACUGUUUCAAGACUUUUUGUUUGCCGUUUCAAUAUGAGAUGGAAAAGCAAAGCUUCUGUAUGAAGUACUUUUCUGCUUUUCACUGUGAGAGUGGUAGUGCAUGCAUUCAAGGUAGACUUCUCUAAACUGGCUACUAGGCAGAGCACACGCUCUUCAAGCUAUACCCUGCUCAUCCUGUAUUUUUAUUCUCUUUUCGUGGGUCUGUCCUGAUAUUCAGAAGACGCAUAUACGUUGUCCUUCAUCUGUACAGCAGUGAGACCACCUGGACAGACAGUGUCAAGCAAGUUGCGGUGACACAGCAGUCCAUCCUUGGUGGCAUCAUGCUCUUGUGCCAAACCUGCUUUUGUUGGGCAAGAGCUAAUGGGAGCCUAGAGGCUGCCUGGUGAGGAAACACUGACUCUAUGAAUGCUGGUGAAAUGUGCAUUAUGGAAAGGGACCAACAAUAAUUAAAAGCCUUGCUGUAUAGAAACUUCCACUUUUCCUCUAUGAACAAGCACUUGCUGCACUGGGUUUGGCUGGGAUGGAGUUAAUAUUCUUGGUAGUGGCUGCAGGGUGCUGUGUUUUAGGUCUAUCACCAAAACAAUGCCGAUAGCACACCACUGUUUUAGCUGUUGCUGAGCAGCGUUUGCACAGCAUCAGGGCUUUCUCUGCUCCUCACUUUGUCCUCCAGUGAAUAGAUUUGGGGGUGUGCAAGAGUUUGGGAGGGCACACAAACAGGCAGAUAACCUCAAGGGGAUACUCCGUGCUGUACCAUGUCAAGCUCAAUGAUAAAACGUGAGAGGAGGGGUUUAGGAGGUUUUGUAUCUUAAAGCAUGUAAACUGGAUGCAGAUGGAACAAGUGAGCUGCUCAUGUUCACUUCCAGAUUUAUGACGUUUUCAGAAAGCACAAGAAGGCCUCUUGGGAGCAGUGGCUGAUGUAAGGACCACUGCAUUUUUCAAGGAUGAAAAAUUGGUUUUGUGGGCAGCCCAUUUGGGUUUUCAAGCUUAUCUGCUGAAGCAAGAGGAAUCACGCUUGGCUUUGUAAGCCCCCAAACAGUCCUGCUUGUGAGGACAGUCUGAUUGAAGCAGUUCAGUGGGAUGUAAAGUACUGUGAUAACUCAAGAGCUGGCAGUGUGUGGAGUACAUGGGC